UACGAGUGCCUCGAGCGUUAUCCGGAAUCAUUGGGCGUAAAGGGCGCGUAGGCGGGCUUGCAAGUCUGCGGUGAAAGCCUCCAGCUCAACUGGAGAAGUGCCGUGGAUACUGCGGGCCUCGAGGAGGGUAGGGGCAUCUGGAACGUUGGGUGGAGCGGUGAAAUGCGUUGAUAUCCAACGGAACUCCGGUGGCGAAGGCGAGGUGCUGGACCCUUUCUGACGCUGAGGCGCGAAAGCCAGGGGAGCGAACGGG
rnacentral:rRNA from 1 species